rnacentral:rRNA from 1 species
AACCCAAUGUGAACGUUACCAAACUGUUGCCUCGGCGGGAUCUCUGCCCCGGGUGCGUCGCAGCCCCGGACCAAGGCGCCCGCCGGAGGACCAACCAAAACUCUUUUUGUAUACCCCCUCGCGGGUUUUUUUUAUAAUCUGAGCCUUCUCGGCGCCUCUCGUAGGCGUUUCGAAAAUGAAUCAAAACUUUCAACAACGGAUCUCUUGGUUCUGGCAUCGAUGAAGAACGCAGCGAAAUGCGAUAAGUAAUGUGAAUUGCAGAAUUCAGUGAAUCAUCGAAUCUUUGAACGCACAUUGCGCCCGCCAGUAUUCUGGCGGGCAUGCCUGUCCGAGCGUCAUUUCAACCCUCGAACCCCUCCGGGGGGUCGGCGUUGGGGAUCGGCCCUGCCUCUUGGCGGUGGCCGUCUCCGAAAUACAGUGGCGGUCUCGCCGCAGCCUCUCCUGCGCAGUAGUUUGCACACUCGCAUCGGGAGCGCGGCGCGUCCACAGCCGUUAAACACCCAACUUCUGAAAUGUUGACCUCGGAUCAGGUAGGAAUACCCGCUGAACUUAAGCAUAUCAAUAAGCGGAGGA